rnacentral:rRNA from 1 species
UAAUGGCCUACCAAGGCAUCAGUAGCCGGCCUCAGAGGGCAACCCGCCACACUGGCACUGAGUACACGGGCCAGAAUCCUACGGGAGGCAGCAGUGGGGAAUCUUGCACAAUGGGGGCAACCCUCAUGCAGCGACGCCGCGUGAGCGAUGAAGCCUUUCUGGGUGUAAAGCUCUUUCGACAGGAACGAUAAUUACGGUACCUGGAGAAGAAGCUGCGGCUAACUACGUGCCAGCAGCCGCGGUAAUAAGUAGUCAGCAAGCGUUGUUCGGAGUUACUGGGCGUAAAGAGUGCGUAGGCGGUCUUUAAGUCAGGGGUGAAAUGCCAAGGCUCAACCUUGGAACUGCCUUUGAUACUGGGGAUCUUGAGUCCGGGAGAGGUGAGUGGAACUGCGAGUGUAGAGGUGAAAUU